rnacentral:lncRNA from 15 species
CGUUCCUACCAGAUUUACUUUGUACAAUCGUAAGACUUUUAGAACAAUUAUUUCUGUUUUCACAAACUGACUCGAGUCAUGGUUGAAUUUAGACUCUACGUUCUCUCUCUCUCCCUCUCUCUCUCUCUCUGUCUCUCUCUCUGUCCCAUCAGUCCUCUCCAAGAACAGCAAACCCAUCCACACCACCAUCCUCAACCCUCACGUGCACAUCAUCGGGGACGACGCCGCCUGCAUCGCCUACAUCCGCCUGACGCAGUUCGUCGACGGGCAGGGCCGCCCCCGCUCCAGCCAAUCGGAAGAGACCAGAGUAUGGCACCGCAGGGAAAGCCGGUGGCAGAACGUCCACUUCCACUGCUCGGGCGCUCAUGCUGCCCCGCUGCAGGGAUGAGGUACAGGGAACUACAUUCACACACGGAGGCCGCCGUGUUGAACCGCCGUGUUUCUAUAUGCACCUUACACCAGAGCCGUAGUCGAUACCACCUUUAUCGAGUCCAAAACCAAGACUAGUCGAGACCAAAUAGGUUAGAGUCCAACACAAUCUCUCUAUAUGAGAUAUUGACAAGUGAUAUUGAUUGGCUGUCUGAUGGAUCUUUUAAGGAGGAAAUUAUUUCAGAAAUAUAUGUAAAGCUGCGGCCAAGAGAAUAAAAAAAAAAACCACGUUGACCACUACACAUACUGAACACCGAGUUUUAUUAUAUAUAAUUAUUGUUUUUAUUAUUAAGGAGCAGGAGCUGUAAGAAAAACAACAACAUGCAUUCUGUCCAUGUACAAAUUAACUAUUAGUUGUCAUUAUUUACAAUCCAUAUGUUGACAGCAUCCAAUUAAAACAUAUAGUAUAGUACAGACAGAUAUUGGGAAGAACUGUUAGAUAAGAUAAGAAAUAUCACCAGGUAGAGGAAAAGUUAUUAUUAAUUACUUAUUAAACGCUAAUACAACAUAUUGGGCUGCAAAUUACACAUACAAAUAUUUGUUUGGUCCUUAAUGAUUUUUUCUUUUUUACUAAAGUAUGAAAUUUAACAACAACUCUCCUUCGUCCCCUCGUCUUUAAAGAACUUUGUAAACUCUUAUUCUCCUGGUUUUAUUUUUGUUUGUCUGCACGGCCUCCGGCAGUAACAGCUCAGCAAUACACAUCUGACUUUUCAAGAAUUUUAAUGUGGAAUAUAUACUUUUAUCAGACACACACAUGUUGUUCCGAGCUGAAUCUUUGUGUUUGCUUUUAAUGAGAGGUUGUUUAACUGUUUGUCUCCUCGCUGCUGCAGGAAUAUGAGACGGACGAGGAGGCAGAGAGGAGCAGAGGAGGAAUAACCUGAGAGAGCGUAUCAGCUGAGAGAGAGGCGGAGGUGGAUGGAGGCCGGCUUCAGGGAGUCUGAAGAGUCUGAUGCGUUUUUGAGGAUUGUGGUCGUCGUCCUGCGCUCUCCACACCCACCUCGCUCUUCUCUCGCUCUCUCUCUCUCUCUCUCUCUCUCUCUCUCUACAACCUCAACCACAGACUGUAACGCCGACGCUCCCAUCGCCAAAACCUACGCUACAGCAGAGGGCACAUCAGCCAAAAAAAAAAAAGAAGGAAACUCUUACAGCCCGGCGUCCUGUCUCCGGUCGGCCUCUGGCGGCGGCGGCUGCUCUCCUGUUGCAGAAUCCCCCUUUUACUCCUCUGACGUCCAGUUAUUGUUCCUUCCUUCUAGUAUUAUUAUGGCUGCAGUCUGUUGUUGUGCUCUUUCAACUGUACAGUAUAUUUAUUAGCCCUUUUAAAACCUUUUACCCUUGUUGGUUGUUUUUUUUUAACGACGAGCAUGACUCUGUCCCCGUGUUCUGAUUCCCUGUGGCUGUUUAUUUCUGCACGACUAACGGCUGCAUAACAGUUCCAGUCUCACAGAGAGAGUGACACCGACCGGUGGGUGUGUUUAAUGAUCCCUUCUGUGUGGUUUGCUCAGUUGAACUUUCUUUCUCUGGAGUGUAGUUGAUCCCCCUGACCCCCUCGACCCCCGGCCCCUUCCUCUCUGAGCCAUGCAGCAUGCUAAACUAUUACUGUGGUUCUUAAUUGAGUCUCUGUGUACUGAACAUUGCAAGUUAACUACUGAAAUUAUGACAAUGGUUGAGAUUUUAGUGUCGCGCCGUUUAUGUAAAUCUCCAGUUUUCAUCGUGGUGACUUAACGACAUUUUAUGCUGUAGAUGGUAUUUAAUUGCAUGAUAUUCCGAGUUAAUAACAUUGGUAAGUUGGGUGUUUAUCGUGCAUUUUGUUGAUUUCUCUCUUUUUGGACUGAGCUGUUGGUGAGCUAUAAUCUAUCGCCUCUAUUUUCUGGGCUUUGUAAGUGCAUAAACUAUUUUUGUGUUAAUAUGAUAGUGUAAUAUGUGAGGAUACUGGUGAGGAUCGUGACAGAAAAUUGCCUUUUUAAAGAAACUGCUGUAUCCAGAUCAGUUUGAAAAUGGCUCUGCACUGAAUCAAAGACAAAGGAGCUAUUUCAUCUUUUAUUUGUUAGAGUCGACCAGACUGAAGAAAAUGUCACAUCAGGGUCUUAAUUUAGAUUAGUUUUAUUAUGAAAAAGCAGCUUUUUACUUCACAAAUGUACUAUUUUAAAUAGCUAAACAAGGCACUGGUGACGUAUAACCAGGAACAAUUACACCAAAAAUAAAGUUUAUGGUUCAGUUUAAAGUAUCAAAGACAAAACCCAAGAAGCUAAUUCAUCUUUUGUUAACCAGACUGAAGAAAAUGUCACAUUAGGGUCUUAAUUUAGCCUAGUUUUAUUUUGAAAAUGCAGCAUUUUCAAGAAAAAGACCCAAAUAUACGAUUUAAACAGCUGAACAAGGCCCUGUUGAUAUAGUCUGUGACCUUUAUGCCCCCAACCAUCAGUAGAAAAACCAGCCUUGUUUUCAGCUUUGUGAUAAUGAACCAACUUCUCCUCAAGAGGGCACCGACAUCCAACAACAGAGACUGAACGUGUGACUGAAACUCAGAGUUCACCAUAAAGACCUGAGCAGUUGGACCCCCGAGAGGAAGAUUUUCAGUUACUUCCUCUCAAACUGCCUUUACGGUAUUUUUCACGGUUGCUUUGGCUCAACAGAGAAUUAAAAGUUAUUACACAAAAUGCUUUAACUCAAUAUUCUGUCCUCAAAAACUCACAAAACGGACAUAUUAGAGCUUUAAAAGAUCAUUUUCACGUCACUUUUUAAACAUAAAUACCAAACAUUCAUCUAUUUUCUAUGAUUGUAAACUGGACAUCUUUGGAUUGUUUUAAUUUUAGUUGGACAAAAUUGUUAUUUUCCAUAAAAGCUCAACAAUCAGUUGAUUAAUCAAGAAAACCAUCAGCAGAUUGAUAAUGAUGAUUAAAAUAAUCAUUAGCUAAUACAUAAUGUAUCAAAGUUCAUCAGAGCGUUAUGUUCAAUUUAAUCAAAUUAAGCUUUUUCAUAAAGUCUUUAUAUUAUAAAACAGCGACGUCAUUUCAUCAUAACAACCAGAAAUUAAAGCAACGUACUCAGAAGUGAAUAUUUAAAAUGAUCUUUUGGUGUUUUUUAUUCAUCAAACACUGUAAAUACAGAUAAUAUAGUCUCGACUCAUUAAAUCCUACAUUUAUACCAGGUCAUAUCGAGUUUCUGUUUGACCACAAAGUUUGCUGACAUUAGAAAUCUAAUUUAUAAUCUAUUUCAUAAAGUAAACUACAGAAAAUGCUGGAAAACAUUAUAACGUCUGUCUAAGUUAAACACUUCUAUUCGUCCCUUCAGCUCGUAACAUCUGUUUGCUUUGUCCUCCGGUCGAUUCAGUAGCAAACGAUCCAGGUUAAAGGUUUCUUAAGCGAAGGAUUUAAAUGUAUUUUUUUUACUUCUAAUGAAACUUUCCUUGAUAGUCGCAGUAGCAGUCUUUGUACAUUUCCUGUUCUUUGUGGCUCUUUCCAUCCUUCCUGCUUUCUCUUCACAACCACUGGAACACCUGGUCACCCUCCCUUACCUACAGUAUCACAAUAUAUUGAUUAUAUGUUAUCUUAUAUUGAAUCUGAAUCCACUGUAUCGUGUAUCAUAUCACCAGAUUCUUACCAAUACUUUGUUUUGCGUUGCUCCUCGUCUGGUAAUGACGUUAAAAUAAGGAGAAAUGGAGUCAAACUGAGCCAAAGCAAUCGUACAAACACUGCAGAUAUAAGUCUUAUUGAUUAUGGAGCCUGUGUUUGAGUCACAUUAACAAACAGUGGGUGAAUUACUAUAAGACAGGCGCUCUGCAAGACUCUCUGUGGUGCUUCUCUUUAUUUAUUUGACUGUUUGAAGCUCUCAGACAGGGGCCACAGUUCAACCCUUAGUAUCAGUGCUUUAAUAGGAUUACUGCUCCCUUUAGAUUAAUAAUCAAUCCUUAUUCCAUUAAUCAGCGUUCGCUCGCGUUCCUGAACAGCCUCAGAAGAUCCUCAAGGUUUAUUCUCCUCGGUUCAGAUCAGGAGACGACUGUAUGUAAAGUGUUUCUUUUUUAAAUUGAUUAUACUGCUGCUGAUGAUGAUGAUGAUGAUGAUGAUGAUGAUGAUGAUGAUGAUGAUGAUGAUGAUUCCUCUGGUGUGCAUUCCGAGUCUUAUCAAUAUUAAAAUGUGAUCAGAUGUAAUCAGUGUGUGAACCAAUAAAACGACAAUGCAGAGAGCCACUUUACUCCUCUCGUUGUUAUCUCCCAGGACAGUGUGUGUGUGUGUGUGUGUGUGUGUGUGUGUGUGUGUGUGUGUGUGUGUGUGUGUCAGGGAUCAAUAAAAGGGAAUCAGUGGGUGUUGAUAACACAGGUGGUAAACAGGAACAGUGGUGGAAAGGGACGGAACUGAUCGAUGAACUCAGUGACUGCAGGAAGUUUGUGUUAAAACAAGAGAUUUUAAUGAAUUUUGAGCAGAUUAUUUCCUGAUAAUAUUGAUCAGAGAUCAGUUUUUCUGAUAUUUUUGGGAACUUUUUAAAGAAUUUUCUGUCUCUAUUAUAUAUAUUUUAUAAUAUUCAACAAUCAUACAACUUUAAUUGGCUUCUUUUUUUUUGACAGAUUCAGUGUUUUUAUUCUUCCUGACUCUUCUAGUGCAGCUUGUGUUCAGGUCAUCAAAGUUUAGAUAUUAAAUAAUUAAUAAUAUUAAUGAUACACAGUGUUGAAACAGUUUACAUUGAAACACAAACUUCUAGUAAAAGUUUAAGAAACAUU